GGAACCCUUGGCUCUCCAGAUGUUGCCGAGCUACACAUCUCAUCAACUUCAUCAACUUAAGAAGAACAAUAGCCAGAGAUGAUGGGAGCUUUAGUUCAGCAACAUCUGGAGGGCUAGAGGUUCCCCACACCUGGUAAACAAAGUAACCACAUUGAUCAUCCACAAGAUGACCCAAAAUAAUAAUAAUAAUAAUGCUUGCCAUGUGGGCAAACGCUACCUUCCACUCUUAAGUCUGGGUGAACCAGCCCUUAAUGCAGUGCAGUGUGUAUGUGUGUGUAUAAUCUUCACGUGUAAGGUGUCUAAAGAAGCAUUGAAUGCACGCACCGCAGGGCAUACCACAAUAUAAAAGCCCCUUCCCUCUCCAUGUUUCCUACCUGUCUCAAUGAAAGGCAUUUUGCUGAUACUUAAGGUUUUGUCUGGGGCAGCGUCUUGAAUCUCUUCCCCCACCCCCUCAACCCCAGUAUACCAUUUUUUCAGCUGAUUAGUACUUUGCAACCUGUGGUAUGCUCACACAACUGAAUGGCCUUGCAGUGAAUGUCCAUAGUCAGGGAAAGACACUGUAUUAGAGUCCCUCUCUUGCCUCCCCACUGCCCUGCGGUUCCUCUCUCAAGGCAGAAAGUUGCAUUCCCUGAUUUUCACAAUCUGGCUGUUGCUUUUCCCUAUCACAGAGCUAGUGUGUGGGAUCCUACUGACUGGGCCAAGGAGCAAACAAAAGCAAGAAAAACUGAUGGGUUGGGAUGUGUGUGAAAAGACAAUCAUUAGAAAUGCCCAGAUCUAAUGCUACUACUGAAUGAUGCUAUUUUACUCACUUUCUGUACUGCUCCCUGAUUUGUAAUGCCAGUAGCAUCUGGCCAGCUACACCUGACACAUCUCCUCCCGAGUUUUAGGCUCCUCUUUUCCAUGGGUCCUAGGGAGUAUGGAAGGUGGGUCAUUUAAAAAGAGAUGACAAGGAUCAGUAAAAUACCCAACUCCUUCCCCAGUAACAUAUUGCUCCUUCCAGUGAUUAUCUUAAACCUCACCAAUUUAACUUGAUUUCAAUUUAACCCUGAUUUCAGCCAGAACAUGGAGAGCUUUUUCUGGCUGGGAUGUAACUUUUAACUGUAAUAAAAUUACUUGCUUGUCUGGAUGGGGGAUGGAGAAAUGCAACAUUUAUCUUUUAUGUAGUUGGAAUGUAGCAGUCACAUCCCUUGAAGUGUCCACUUUUGCCUCUGGCCCUUCCCACCCCUGGUUUUCAGGUCCUGGGCAAGUUCCCCAUGUGGGAAUGCUCCCCUCAGGCUGGAACAGGUUCCCCAUGCUUGGUUUUAAUCAUACAUCCAAAUCCAGGUAUAUACUGUGUUUCAAAACUUGUUUUCCAUGCAGUACCUGAUUGCCUUGCUGGCAGGGACUGGAGAAUCUCUGAUUUUCUGAUUACCAAAAGUGCCCCUAAUGAAUGAUAGUAGAUAGAUAAUGUAAGCCAAUUGCAACUUCAUAAAAAGUGAAAACAGGGUGUUUUUAAAAUACUGCGCUUAGUUUUGUAUGACUUCCAGGGUACCCUACACAGUACAGUUGUAUGAAAUGAAACAUAUCCUGCCCAGGAUUAAUAAUCUAAUGUUGGGUUGCAGCAGGACUUAGUUUUCUCAGUGUGCCUUCGUGUGAGGCUGUGUGUGUGAUAUCUAGCAUUAAUGCUGGUCAAAUCAAGUAUAGUUGCCAGUAUCAGCUAAUCCUCAAAUGACAGUCUCCUCUUGCAGAACUUUGGUCUUUCAAAUCAUCAGGUGGAGGGGGUAUGCAUUAUUUCUUUGCUUUGCUAUGACACUGCUCUAGCCAUCUUGGGAGUCCUGCUGUUUAUCAUUUAACAAAUGCAUUAAUCUCUGUGUGCGUGCUGGGGAGUAGGAAUGAAAUGGUGUCAUGGUAACAUAAGUGGUCAUAUAUUGCUUAUAUAAAGACAUAGCCAGCAUGAAAUUGGCUGGAAAGUAUUUGUACUCUCAAAUCAUUAUGAAACCGAGGAGGAUGACCUAUUCCCCAACAGUUGGGCAGAAACUCAGCUGUUCAAGUGGUCAACUCCUAAUGAGAAAAUUGUACACGGUGUGAUUGGUCCUAAGAAAUAAUGACACUGAAAGCAUUUUUUUUAAAAAAUAAAAAAUCUGCAGAAGUACAUAAUGCUGCCUGAGUCGGCAAACGAAGGUUUGCAGGCACACUUAAAUGAAAUUUCUGAGAAAGAAACAGGGUUUUAGCUUAGCCUUAUCUGCUAACUUUGUACAGUGGUACCUCAGGUUACAGACUCUUCAGGUUACCGACUCAGCUAACCCAGAAAUAGUACCUCGGGUUAAGAACUUUGCUUCAGGAUGAGAACAGAAAUUGCGCAGCAGCAGGAGGAGGCCCCAUUAGCUAAAGUGGUACCUCAGGUUAAGAACAGUUUCAGGUUAAGAACGUACCUCCAGAACAGAUUAAGUUCUUCACCAGAAGUACCACUGUAUAUGCAGGGAAAUUAGAUUUUGAAAUUUAGCACCGGGGAGCUUUGAAACAUGCUAUUCCACAAUCAGCAGUCUGAAGCAGGGCAGUCCAGGAAGAACAGCAGUACAUUUAAAUUGUUCUCUUAGGCUGCAAUCCUAAACACGCUGACCUGGAAAUAAGUGCCAUUCAGUUGAAGUGUGGCAUUCAUACACAAAGAAAGGCUUCCUUUUUAUUGGUCCAACUUGCAUCAAAUAUAUUUGGUUUCUCGUACUCUCGAAGAGCUGGAAGAAAAGCAUGCACACUCUUGUGAGCCAUUCCAGUCUUUGGUGAAGCAUGCAAUUCUUCAUCACUUUAGACUCCCAUUUAAAAACAACAGUCAGCAGUUGUUGAUGAGAUCUAAAUGCUUUAUUUUCAGAGGAGUGAAAUGGUAGGGCUCUUAGCAACGUUCUUCUUUCUCUAUCUCUCCCUCAUAGCUUUCUCUCUCUGUCUGUUUCUCCUUUCUUUCUUUUUUUUGCAAGAGUCUAAAUAUAUAUAUUGGAUUUUGUGCUGCCCCCUAGGUGAGAAGGCAAUUUAGGGCCCUCCUUCUUCCAACAGUUCAGGAAGCCAGGCUUAUAGACAGCUCCCUCCUGAUGUUUGCUAUUUGAGCCCAUAUUCAUUAUCUCAAGACCGGGCUUUAAUCUGUGAGUUGAGUCAGCACACUUCCAUGGUACCUGUGCUGAAGAACCAUGCUGGAUAUGUGCCAGGCUGAUGUCCCAGCCGAGAGAGGACAAUGAGCCGAAUGCAUAUUCCGAAAUUAAAUGUGAUUCAGAAAUGGGAAGUAGCCUGGGAAGUAGUUUUGCAGCUUCAAGCCAAAACAACUGUUGGAUUCCGCACAACCUUAUUAUGCUAUGAACUGGAAUGCACAUUGCUUUUUCUUUCUUUUCUUUUUUCUUUUAAAAAGAAUCUCUUCCUUCACUUUCUUUAUCACAUCAGCCACAUUCAGAGGUGAUGCCCUGCAGACAAAGAAGCCUUUUUAGCAUCACAGCUGAUUAUUACCAUUGUCUUUUUGCUGCAGGGGAAUAUCAUUGCUGAUUUUUUCUGAAUUGUACCAGGCAUGUGGAUCUUGAAGAAAGCUAUACCACAUAGUGAGUCCACAGUUAGUGCCUCAUGUUAACAAUUCUUUAUCAUUUUGCUUAGCUAUGCAGUCUGACAAUUCAAUUAAUGGCUGUCAAACACCAUACUAAGUCUGGAAGUCUAGUCAAACCUAUCUGGAUCUUCUUGGGUUUUCCUCCUCUUCUUAUAUAAUCACUGUAUAUCAGCUAUUCUGCAGAUUUCUGGGUCCACAUUAUUCAGGAAGAGCCUGAUAACACAUGUCUACUGCUUGAUGGUUGCAACAUUAAAUGAUAAUUCGAAUGUAUGAAGGACCUAUCACAGGUAUAAGCUUCCAUUGGCUUCAAAUAUACUGGCCACAUUCACACAUAACAGCAAGCCAGACUUUCUGUCUUCUUGUGUUUUACUGUGAACAAGUGGUAUUGCUAGUCUGGCCGGCCCAGUUGCUUCUGAUUCAAUCCUUUACUGGCAUGAAUCAUAGAAUCAUAGAGUUGGAAGAGACCACAAGGGCCAUCGAGUCCAACCCCCUGCCAAGCAGGAAUCACCAUCAGAGCACUCCUGACAUAUGGUUGUCAAGCCUCUGCUUAAAGACCUCCAAAGAAGGAGACUCCACCACACUCCUUGGCAGCAAAUUUCACUGUCGAACAGCUCUUACUGUCAGGAAGUUCUUCCUAAUGUUUAGGUGGAAUCUUCUUUCUUGUAGUUUGGAUCCAUUGCUCCGUGUCCGCUUCUCUGGAGCAGCAGAAAACAACCUUUCUCCCUCCUCUAUGUGACAUCCUUUUAUAUAUUUGAACAUGGCUAUCAUAUCACCCCUUAACCUCCUCUUCUCCAGGCUAAACAUGCCCAGCUCCCUUAGCCGUUCCUCAUAAGGCAUCGUUUCCAGGCCUUUGACCAUUUUGGUUGCCCUCCUCUGGACACGUUCCAGUUUGUCAGUGUCCUUCUUGAACUGUGGUGCCCAGAACUGGACACAGUACUCCAGGUGAGGUCUGACCAGAGCAGAAUACAGUGGCAUAUGAACAAUAUAGUAAUGCAACAAGCCAUGACUUCUGGUUACAUCUGAACCGGUGUGUGUGUGUGUGUGUGUGUGUGUCAUGGUUUGUUGCUCCCUAACAAGAAGCCAGAAACAGGAAAUCAAAAACAAAGCAUGGUUUAAGGUAGGCUAAUACUUAUGGCUUGCUAGGGAGAAACAAAGUAUAAUCACUGGUUCAAUAUGACCAGAAGCUAAGGCUUCCUAGUUUGUUUAUCCUGUUUGUGCCGGGGUGAGCAAUCAGGCUCACGAUAAACCACAACAAGACAGAAAAUCUGGCUUGUUGUUAUGUGCAGAAACAGCCAGUGACACACACAAAAGCAGUUCAUGCAUUCAGUCGUGAGAGGCCAAGCAAUAGACUCACGUGUGGACAACUGCUCAUUCCAUUCCUGAUAUUUGCCUAGCCAACUCCUUGGACCAAUAGCACCAAGGCCUACUGACCUGAAUGCAUUCAGUCUCUAGCCUCUGUAAGCCAAAAAAAGAACAUGGAAAAAGCUUCAAUCUCUAGCGGGCCUGACAUGACUAAUAACUGAAUGUUUUCAUUUGACGUGGAAGAUUAAUGAGUGACCUAUAACUGAAUCUACAUCUGUAGUGUCAAGAGAUGUUUCAGGUUUCUUUGUUUUUUUAAUGUAUUCUGGCCAGUGAAGUGACCGACCUUUUCUGUGUUUGUAAUGUGUUCCUGGACAUUUCCUUUGUACAGCCCAAAACCAAAGCUCAGGCUUCUUCUGUCCCUCUGCAAAGUGUUUCUCUCCUUCCUGCAUGAAGCGCUUCAGCAACAGUCAUCCUAAGAAGCAGCAAAGCUUCUUUCUAUUAAUACUCUUUUGUUUCCCAGGAGGUGUUACCUGCCCCUUCUGCUUGGAUGAACCAGAAUUUGCUUUAAAAUGUGCUUGGCUCCAGUUGCUGCCACUGUUAGUUUGGCUUUAAUUACAUGUUCCUCCAUCUGUUGCCAUGGAUUUGCACAGUUAGGUCUGUAAUUAACUUCCCAGCUCAGACGUUCAAGAAAAAUAUAUCAUAAAAAUGUCCACGCUUCAUUGAUUGUGAGGGUUUUCCCCCCUGCUCUUUUUGGUUCUGCUUUUGCUGUUGCUUUUCCAGUUAGGCUAGAAAUAUACAAAAUUGUGAUGGUGGUGGUGGUUGAAGAGGAGGGACUGUCCUCUUCGGUGGUCCCAUCAACAUGGCUAAAUGUUAUCCAUCCCCUCACCUGCAAAGUGGGUCAGCAACAGGUAGCAGCACUGCAGAUUAGUCCCCUUUCCAAUAAAAGGGGAUCUGGUGAGGUUCUAGCUUAGGAAAUGAGGUUAAGGAAGAUGGUAGUUAGAAGGAUGAAAAGCUAUGAACAAGACAGUGUGUUUUCCUUAUUAGAAAAAGAAAAUGAUAUAAGGUGACUCAAGCUUCCUAUCUGAAUGAUGUAAAAAGUGCACUACCUUAACCCACUGAAUGGUCUUGAGAGCGUCUUUUGCUGCAGAAGUAAUGAAAGUGUGCAGACCCCACCAGUCUCUUAGAUACAGUCCACUGGGAGUCUCGCAUAACAGCAGGUUAAAUAUGUGGGGAUGUAUCCAACAUCCUCGAUCCACGAUCACAGAGAACUUGUGCUAGUUCAAAGGGCAAGUUUUAAUGUGCAACAGAGGGAUCAAAUGCAACUCUUGCAUUAGUGGGAAUCUGUUGUGCAGCAGAUUGUACAGUAUCCUGCUUGUCAAAGUUAUGAGUAGCCUGCACGUGCAAAAUCUUGCACAGCAAAGUUUUGCUGGCACAAUGUACCACUAAGUGACUUUAACUUAGCACUAUGUUACAUACAACCCAAUACUUUCUUUAAAGCACACAAGUGCUGUGUGGCUGCUUAAUUUUACACAAUCGAUUCUGUUUCUUCUGUAGUCACAGGAAGGCCCCCUCCUUUUGACACAAGCAAAUUAGACUUUAGCUCCCUCCCUGGAUUUUGGAGAAUCUACCAGGUCUCCAUUCCUUCAACCCUCUCUUCUUUUUUCUUAAACAGAGUUUCCCAGGGCCCUCUGUUUCUGUAUCCCAGACUUAUUUGUUGCACUUGUUGGGUGUGAUUCGUAGACUCCCUAAAGGGUCAACCAGUUUAUUAAGCAUGCACCUGCCAUUUAAGCUGUCCAAUGGGGACAGGAGUGAAACUUUCCCCCUCCCCUCCAUCUCCUCUUCUGCCUCUGCUUCUGCUUCUGGACUUCUCUCUGCCACAGACUCUCCCUGCUCAAUAAGGCCUGUUACCUCUUCAGCUUCCGACACCACCUCCUCUCAGGUUUCUCCCUCUUUUUCCUCUGACCAUGCAUUGCCAUCCCAUCAGCAGUCCCCGAGCUCUGAGCUUUCUUCCCUUGGGAUUUUUCCAGCUUGUGCCUCCCACUACCCCUCUGCAUCCAACCAGUCCAUGACAGAUUGCCACUCCCUACCAUUGAUCCCACUUACAACUUUUGUCUGUUGCUCGUGUCCUCCAAGUCCUGCCCAAGCAUGGUUGGAGCUUGACUGGAACAAACACAAGCCAGAGAACCAAAAGGGCCCUUUGAGGGCUCUGGCACCAUCCUGUUAUGUAGUUCUUUAUUUCUCCUCCUACCCACAAGUGGCUCAUUUCCAAGGUCCACGUGAUUGGCACUUCCCUUUUCCAAAUCUAACAGCCAGGCAAAUAGAACUUGUGCCAGAGGGGAGAAAUGCAGGAAAGGGGAAAGCUUUGUAGUUGUUUCAGAAAUUUCUGCCUGGAGCUCUGAGGUCCCUGAUGUGGUGCUUGUGAUCACCAUGGUACCCUCAGAUGCACACCUUGGUGUCCACAGAUAUCCUACCCCUCCCAGUUUUUAUUUGUGUAUAUACAUAUAUAUAUAUAUUAAUAGAGUAUUUUUGUUCUGUGACAAGUUGUCUUUGGGAGAAGGGUGUUGCCUGCCUCUCCCCCCCCCUGUUCUGUUUGUUUGGGGGAUAUGUGUGUUUUGCCUGCUGAUGGGGGGGAGGGUAUUGGGUUCUGAACAUCACCAGAUUUUCCGCUGUGAAAUGGGUAUUUUAUGGUGAUCUCAACAUUUUUCUUAGGUUUUCAAAUGUGUCCCCAGGCCCAGAAAAGUGGGAUUAUGGGGCUACCCUUGUCCUUCAAGCAAAACUCAGGAAUGUGCUGAAGUACCAAUGAUUGUAAACCCUAACAACCUGGAUUCUUUACAUUUUUUUCAGAGCAGGUGUCCUAAGGCCAGGAGCAGAUACAAUAUCCUCUGCUUCCCCAGACAAGUCCUGGUGGCAGAAUCAUUUGCCUGCUGGGUGCCUUCUGUGGUUUUCAUUCUCCAAAGCGGGCAAUCGAUAGAGUAGGGUGGGUGGAAUUCUCCAAUCUUGAAUCUGCUUUGGUGUGGGGCCAGGGAUGGAUGUAUAUACCCGAAUUCCUAAGUCUGGAUCCCUGUUAGAUUUAGGGGUGGGGAGACUUCUAAAUGUUUUGGGUUUGCCAAGUUAAUACCUAACAUUAUGGGCUUAAAAAUCAAUCAGAUAGACUCAGGUUGCAAUCCAAUGCAUGCUUACCUAGGAAGAAGUCCUGUUGAACUCAACGGGACCUACUUCUGAGUACACUUCUAUAGAAUUGCAGGUUUUGUUUUUAACGUUGAAAUGCUGAAUUUUCUUCUUUUUUUCAAAAUGGAAAACCUGCCAUUCAGAUUCUUAAAAAUUAAAUAAAAUUGAGGGCAGUUUUUUUCCAGAUUUAGGAUUGAUCCCCUUUUGCCAUGAGUAGUUCUGGGUUAUUAUUCCUUUUCACCUACCAGCGAAUCCAUUUGAAUUUAACAGGGUAAAAUAACUGCGUUGCUUCGCAGCCAUCUUCCUACAUAGAUAUAUGUGUGUGUUCUUUCAAUCACAGCUUUGACAGGGGAUUUAUCAUUAUUAUUUUGCAAACUUUCUGGCAGCUUCUGACUGUCAACGCACAGCCUCGACCAACCCUCCUCAUAACCACUUCCUGCUGUAGUUGAAAUCAGACCUUGUGUAUGUGUGCUCCCAUAAAACUCCCACUUGAGCAUGGUUUUAACUAUGGAAAGGCAGCAUGCAAAUAGAAUGGUGGUGGUGGUAUGACUAUCAGCAGUAGGAGUACCAAGCAGCAAAAGCCAGUGUGGGAUGUGGCAUUGUUGGUAGGGAAGGAAUUCGCUAGGUCCACUUUUCAAAGCAGACCAGCCCAGUCCAAUGGUCCUGUACUUGCUUGCAGGAGCACAACCCCUGAUCAGAUUACAAAACUCUCUGGAUUCGGUAAUGCAGUUUUCAAGUACAAAAAAAUAAUAAUUUAAAAAUGUGUGCAUGGAAGUAUGUAUUUUACAGUUAAAAUGCAUAUUUGGUAGGAACGCACUGGGGGUAGGGGGGGCGGCAUUUGUCUUGGGAGAAUACAUACAAAAAUGUCUGCAGUCAUGUGAACCAUUCAACUACGAAAUUUUCAUGCAUUCUUACAAAUAAAAAAGCACUGCACAAAACAAGACCGAACCGACCUAAGAUUGAGUGUCAGUGUAAGUGACACAGGACAGAGAAUCCACCCCUAACUGCUGGCAAUUGCUGCAGAAACAUGAAUGUACCAUUUUAGCUCAUUACUGGGCCAACAGGAUGAAUGUUCUCCCAAUAUAACAAACCCGUUGACCAGGACAAGUGUACUUUCUCAUAGAUGAAUCAUCGCCGAUCGUAGGGGAGGGGUUGGUCUUGUGUCCUUGAGAUAUAUAGAUAUAUUUUUUGAAAAAUCCCCACAAAGGGCUUCAAACAAGCACUUUCACUUCUAAUGAAGAUUCAUCCCAUGAAUGUAUUUUGACCACACAACACACACCAGAGGUGCAAGGAGAAGCAGUCUGCUUUGCUUUUUGCUUUUUUUGUUUUUAAUUGUCAAGCACCACCACAUUACAGGGUGAAUCUACAAAGAUAAGUGCCGGAUGCUUUCUAGAAAAACUGUUGCCUGAAUGUGUGGCCGGUAAGCAAUGAAAUGCCAUUAAACUUUGUAUAGUGUCACAUAGGACUGCUCAGGAAAAGAAAAGAAAAACCAUUGAAAAGGAGGCGAAAUCGAGAAAUUAGCAGUGGUGGCUAAACCUUUACUUGAUUGCAUUAUAAUGUUGAGGCUGCCGGAUUCCUGCUAGCAAGAGAUUUGCACAUUGGUUUUCAUUCAUAUCUGCCUCAGAACCUUGCCCUCCUCCCUUUUGAUUUUCUGUAGAAUAAAAAAAUCCAUCUUUGGACUGCAGUUCUAAGCAUAUUUACUUGACAGCAAGACCUGUUGAACUCAGUGGAGUUUGCCUCCCAAGUAAACGUGUUUAGGGUUGCCCUCAAAAAGGAAAACAAUCAUUAAUCCUGACACUACACCCAUAAAAAACACGCAAAUCCUCAUUUUGCUAGAGGAUACCUGUGCUUGUCUUUUCUUUAACUGGGUUACAGCUUUUUAAAAAACAAAAUGCCUAGAGAGUAAUUAUUCUUUUUUCAAGCCUGCUUCUCUUAGGAAUCCAUUUUCCUUGCUCUACACCUAAGUGGAUUUAGAUAAACCUUCCCCCCCACCCCCACUCCUGAGGUAUUUCUGUACAGCCUAGGUAACCUAAGUCUCCUACCUAUACUUUAAUCUAGCUAUCUCUAUAUUUGCAUUGCUCUGUCUUAUCGUGAACCGGUCACACAAGAAUGACGGAAACAGUUUAUUGACUCCUUUUGUGCGUGUCAAUGAAAAAUUCAUUUGGGGUGCUCACACCCUCUUUUGAACUCAGAUUCUUGCCACUGUACAGUAUAUGGAGAUGCAUAGAGAGACUUUUUAUAUUUCUGAAUGUUGUACUUUUUAACUCCUUGCAAGCUUGGUAAUACACUAUCUAAAUGUCUAAAAAACAAUAA